ensembl:rRNA 5S_rRNA 5S ribosomal RNA
AGCUAUGACUAGACCACCUGAAUGGCCCACCUGAUCUUACCUGAUCUCUGAAGUUAAGAAGGAUUGGGCCUAGUUAGUACAUGGAUGGAAAACUGUAAGACAGAGGGAUACUGGAAGUCUGUUC